rnacentral:rRNA from 1 species
UAGGGAAUCUUCCGCAAUGGACGCAAGCCUGACGGAGCAACGCCGCGUGAGUGAAGAAGGAUUUCGGUUCGUAAAACUCUGUUGUUAGAGAAGAACAGCGCAUAGAGUAACUGUUAUGCGUGUGACGGUAUCUAACCAGAAAGCCACGGCUAACUACGUGCCAGCAGCCGCGGUAAUACGUAGGUGGCAAGCGUUGUCCGGAUUUAUUGGGCGUAAAGCGAGCGCAGGCGGUCAAUUAAGUCUGAUGUGAAAGCCCCCGGCUCAACCGGGGAGGGUCAUUGGAAACUGGUUGGCUUGAGUGCAGAAGAGGAGAGUGGAAUUCCAUGUGUAGCGGUGAAAUGCGUAGAUAUAUGGAGGAACACCAGUGGCGAAGGCGACUCUCUGGUCUGUAACUGACGCUGAGGCUCGAAAGCGUGGGUAGCAAACAGG